rnacentral:rRNA from 1 species
GUCUACGGCCAUACUACCCUGAACGCGCCUGAUCUCGGAAGCUAAGCAGGGUCAGGCCUGGUUAGUACUUGGAUGGGAGACAUAAACC